rnacentral:ncRNA from 1 species
UUUUCGACUGAUUCUGUAAGCCGUUAUGUUGCCUGCCUCAGUGGCUAAGCCGAGCAUGUCUAAGUUCAAGCGUCCCUAAAAUGGUGGCAUUGUAAACGGCUUAAUAUAGCAGAUAUAAUGUACUUGAUCUUGAUUAUCCGACAUGGAUAGCUGUGGUGAUUUUAGAGCUAAUGCAUGCACCAAAGCUCCGACUUAUGGACGAACACAUCUAUUAUUAAAACCAAUCGAGUUGUUUUUGCAUUUUU